rnacentral:lncRNA from 1 species
UCAACUUCCUGCUUACAUCGGACACCACAUUAUCUUUAGACUAAUGAAUUGACAGAUGGUAUCACAUUCAUGUACCAUGUAUUUAACAUGUUUGCUAUUACCCCAGAAACUGCACAGGUCUGUGUGCAUCCAGAAUUGUGCGUGGAAUCUGAACCAAUAAGAAGAGCGAUCUCAUUUCCACCAAUGGAACAAAUUCUGAGGAAAUCUUGGAGAUCUUCAGAGGUGCUGAUUCAAUUCUCCUCCCAAUUAAAUGUGUGCUGCCACAGAAACAACCAUACAGAAAAUGGAUUGCAGAAAAUAAUAUAAUUGAUCCUAGGCCCUAAAUACCAUUAAAAAAGAGAAAAGAAAACAUCCUGCAGUAAAUAGGUGUGAACAUAUAUCUAGCUCUUUGGGCCUAUAUCCAGUAUAUCUACAUGAAAUCUUCCCUAUCUGCCUCCGGAUUGCUGCCUGUGAUUCUGUGCUGCCAAUUACAGCAGGCUUGUAAAGUUUACUGUUUUCAUGUCAGGUUCCCCAACUGCACUUAUGUGGGGAAUCUGACACUGAAAUUCACAGGGUCUCUUGUGGCUGCCUUUGAGUAAUUGCAAGUAGUAGAGAGAAAAUAAUGGUCACUGGGUUGUUUCCCUUUACCAAGUUUUCUUUAUCUCAUCCAAAUAAUCUGAGUCACUGUGUUUUACUCUGUGAAAUUGUGUUGCUCAGCUCUUUUCA